CGGAAUAUACAUACAUAUUUGUGAAAUUUGUGGAAAAGUUUUCAAGAGUAGAAAAAUGUUCGGUUUACAUAUACAGAAAAAUCAUGAAAUCUAUGAUUUUCCUAAUAAACCAAAACAUCAGUAUAUAGAUACAGACAGAAAUCAUGAAUGUGAUACAUGUGGGAAAAGUUUUAAGAAGUCAGGGCAUUUGAAAGUUCAUACACGCUUACAUACUGCAGUAAAACCUUUUAAAUGCGAUGUGUGUUUAAAGGCGUUUACUUCAAAAUGUGAUUUAACCAG
rnacentral:lncRNA from 1 species